GAGAGCCUUGUGACAUCGAAAGAGUCAUGCAGGGUUCGGAGAGGGGUGGUUGGAAAAGUGUCUGAUUCAAAUUGGCAAAUCAAAUAACUCGCUGGCCACCCACUCUAC
rnacentral:ncRNA from 1 species